UCUUCGAGCUUUAGAGAUGGAGACAGACACACUCCUGCUAUGGGUGCUGCUCCUCUGGGUUCCAGGCUCCACUGGUGACACUGUGCUGACCCAGUCUCCUGCUUUGGCUGUGUCUCUAGGGCAGAAGGCCACCAUCUCCUGUAGGGCCAGUGAAAGUGUCAGUACACGUAUGCACUGGUACCAACAGAAAUCAGGACAGCAACCCAAACUCCUCAUCUACGGUGCAUCUAACCUAGCAUCUGGGGUCCCUGCCAGGUUCAGUGGCAGUGGGUCUGGGACAGACUUUACCUUCACCAUAGAUCCUGUAGAGGCUGAUGAUAUUGCAACCUAUUACUGUCAGCAGAGUAGGAAUGAUCCUCCCACAGUGCUCCAGGGCUGA